CGUCGAAGAGGGAUAAACGAUGCACACCUCCUACUUUCUCUGGCCUUCCUUCCCCUCUUUUUACCAGUGCCCCCCCGGUCAGGGCCACGCUUGUGCAGGGUCGCGAACAUCGGUAUAUCGUUGUUAUAUCUUUUCUUUCUCUCUCUCUUUCUCUCGCUGUUGGAAACGUUAACUGAUUGCCAGACGCCGACGUUCAUCCAGGAGAACGAGGGAGGAGCUGUUAGUACUCCCUCGCAAUGCCGCCGCCCUUCUUUUUAUAAUCGGUAAUAAGUUUCACGAUCCGCGAACGCGAGCCUCUCCCUUGCUUUAGUUAACCAUGUAUGGAGCGAUCGAGUAGGUUGCACGCGAUCUAACGCCGAAGGCCACUUCAAUCCGAAGGCUACGAGGGGAGGAGAGGUUGUAUUCUUUUGAACAUUACAGCUAAUUUAUUGAUUUCGUUGAUGGAUAGAUACUUUGUUCAUAGUGACAGGAAUCACUUAGAGAUAUCUGGAAAUAUUGGUAAGGAUUAAUUGAGAUUUGGAUGAAAGGAGACUGAUAACGUAGAAGACGAUAUAAAAGAUAACUUAUCUAGACGGAUUGACACAUAAGAUAAAUCCAAUAUGGCUUUUUAUUAGUCAAUGGUAAUGACUAAUGACAAAUGAAAUAAAUUAAUCUCUAACAUCGGUCAUAUGUCGUGAUUGCAUGAUGUUAGUCGCAAUAAAUUAAAUAAGUAGUUACAUUUAAAUAAUCAAAUAACCUAUAUAUAUAUAUAGACUCUUCUCUAAUAUACAUUAGCAAUUAAUGUAAAUUAUAAAUAAAUUCAUCUUCGAGAAUAUUCUAAAAAUAAAAUCAAGCUUACAAUCCAAUGGCAUGUGUAAUUGUAUCACAUGUAAAUCUAGAUGGGGAAUUGUUCACAGUAUUUGACGAUUUUGUUACAAUUGUAUAGUAACAAACUUACAAUAAAAUCGUAUAUUUCUUUAUAUGAAAUUGCAUCCUUUAAACUGUUAAGCUAGAGUUCAAUUUUCUGUGACAUCAAUCCUUUGUAAUUAUGAAAUGUAUGUUUCAUGAUUAUGAUAUUUGGCUUGUGACCAAUAAGUAAUCACAAGACUAUUCGAUACAUUCGUGUAUAUAGUUCUCUGAAAAUUGUACCGACUUGGUAUACAACAGUCAUAAAUACAUCUUUUGAUCACAUUGGUGCACUUGAGGACCUAUAUACAGAUUAGAACAUAUUUGUUCUGUCGCUUAAUGAAAACUGAAAACGCUGUACACAAAAAUAUU